AGAUGUUACUGAAAUGGUUUUCAAAAGUCUAAGGAGGACACUUCUCAUACUAGUAAAAAUAUUACAGGGUUUAGACGAGGUUCAGUGAUACAUUACUGUUUAAAGGACUGUAGGAGAGAGGAUAUUCAGUUGAUUUUAAAGCACAAGAACUUCUUCAUUUGGGACUCAUAAGCUCAAAAUGGUAGAGUACCCGGCUCUAUCACAAGGUUUGCGGAGGUUUAUGAUUCAAAUCCGUUUCAGUUUCCAUAUUAUGUUUAUUUAAUAUGGAUAGUGUUACUGGUGCUUAGAUGGACGAUUCAAGUUGUAAGUGGUGUGCAAACUGGUGCACCUUUUCUUGUCUUUGGAUUUUCUGGAUUUUCGUAGAUAUAUACAAGUUUGUACACCAGUAUAAACUAAGAUUUUUAAAAAAUGAGAAUUAUAUAGUCAUAUAGGUACUCUUUUUGUAGCUCUCGGAAAGAGCUCUCCAAAUAUAUAAAGUUUGCAAAUUUUGUACAAACGGUUUGAAAGAUAAAUUAUUUUUAUAUUA